AAUUCCAUAACGGCCUUCUAACCUCACACCCUCCAUUGCUUAUCCCUCCAAAUUAAAAAAGCCAACUUUGGAAGCCCAGUCAUCUUAGGGGUUUUGAAUUUUGCCUUUUUUUAAGUUAUUGAGUUUUAUAUUUAAUAACUUUUUAAAAAUAAAUAUUAAUUUUGAACCAAAAUUAUUGAAUUUCGCUUUCAAUAUUUUAUAUAUAUAUAUAUCUGAAAAAAUCAAUAUCGCUUGGAUUCAUUGAUAUGCAUUUCGUGUAUCAUCUGCUUAAACAAUUGUCGUGAGUGAGCUUAUAGGAAUGUUUGAAUUUCGCUUAGUUACAACCAAAAAUAUAAAAUGAAGAAAUAAAAAUUAUAUAACUUUGUUGUUUUUGUAUUUUUUAUUUUUACAUUUUAUAGGGAUAUAUAUAUAAUUACUACAUUACCCCCUUUAUCAUUUACCUAAAUAAUAUUUUUUUUGGUUGAAAAACCCCUACAAAUAGUUGUACACACUCACGCCUACAAGGAAAAAUCACUUAACGAAAUGGUGGCAUGGCAACUUUUGAUUUGAAGAAAGUAUCUCUUUAAACUACAUCGAAAGGGGUACAAGUGAUUGAGACAUAGAUUAUUAUCAUCCAUCCACAACUAAUCCCUUGCCUCUUGGAUGUGAUUACAAUUCGUGAAUAAACAUUACGCCUAUUGAUCUACUACUACUGCUAGCUAGAAAAAAAGUACUAACAGGUAUGCUUUUUGCCUGCUCUCUCUUCUUGUUUUCAUGUAUCUUGCGAUGGAAAUCACUUCUUUUACACCUUAAUCCAUGCUAGAAGUGUUAUUAUAAUUCCAUGUCUCUUCGACCAAAAAGAUUUGGUAAGUUGGGGGAUGUGGGGGUGGAGAUAGUUGUAGAAAUUAAAAGAAACCAAAUCUUGAUUUUAAUAGUUACAAAUUUUAUAUCAACUCAUGAAAAACAUAAUAGAACAUCAAGCUUCAAGUUUCUUAAUUAAGAUUCAAAUAUUUUUUUUUUAAAAUUACCAAUUAGGUCAUCGAUUGUCAGAAAAGUUGAUUAAUUUGAUUUAAUAUGUUUUGUUUUCAACUCGAUUGAUCAAUUAUUCAAUUCUGGAGGUCUUUUUUUUUUUUUAAAAUUGUGAUUGCUGAAGUUUCCUUUAGUUGAUUCUACAUGUGAUGAGAUGUCUUAAUGCCUAUAAAUGUUUAAUGAAAGCCUAUUUUCGAAGCUUUUGCAUAGAUGGGACAUGUAGCAUAACAUUUAUGAUGUUGUUCAUAUUAUGAAAAGGUAUGUUUUAGGGAGUCUGUCCUAGGAUAGUAGUGUUGGUGAUUUACUCUUAUGUUCUAUUUUAUAAUUUAUAAUACCAGUAUAUGAAUUUUACGUAGUUCAACUUUUUUGGUUAAUACAUUUUACAUAAUACAGUAACAUCAACAUGUGCAUCUUAGAUUUCUUUUUAAUCAACUUUACUCUAUGAACAUUUAGUUGCUUUGGAGUUCAAAAGUCAAAACCAGCAGUUUUCGGUUUGCUAACUACUUUGCUUUUUAAAUAAUCCCUUUUUCGUUAUUUAGUUUCCUCUGGUCGUCACACGCUUAGUACCUUUUGUUAGUUUUUCCGACAAAAAUUUCCGAUUAGUUGUGAAUUGUGAUCAACUCAGCCGGUAAUCUAUUUUAUAGUAGGAGUGAUCAUUUGCUAUAAUGGGUUUGUGAACCUUUUAGUACCUUUUGUUGGUUGAAUAGAAAAAUUUCCCAUUUAGAUGUGUGCAAAAUUACCAAUGUUUUAAUCUCUUGAAUUCUUAUAUAUUUUCACGAGCGUUAUUUUGUUUAGUUUUAUUUUUGAUAAGUAGAAGUUAUAUUAUACAGUAAACAACAAUAAUGGAACAUAGAAAAACUAAUGGUGUGUCUAUUUCAUAUACAUUGUCCAACAUACACCAAAAUGCUAGCAAAUGCAUUAAUUUGAAUUUUUCCUCGUAAUUGAUCAGCCACAUCUAUUUAAUAUUAGCAACUGAAACAUUAGGUGUUUUGAUUCAUUGAUUUAAUGGAUAAGAGGGUGGGGGCAAGCAAAAAAUAGUUUGUAUUUGGAGAUGCACUAGGUGAUUUGUUGUUCAUGAGUUUUCACUUUUCUAGAUGUUGGAUAGUAUCUAGUGUAACAUGUUUUCUCAUAUGGUCAAUUUUAUGUUGCAUUUUUAAGAGGGAUAUCAAUGUCGAUAACAAGAGUCACGUUUAUGACUGAGCAACAAAAACGGAUGAAAGGAACAUACAACAGAAAUAUCGUUGAUAAGGAAGUACUAGGUGGAAUAUUUGUUGGGAUAUACUGUUAACCAUCCGCUUUAGACAUAAUAUUUUGUUUAAUUGUUUAUGGAACAAUUGUUUAUUUAAUUUAUUCAAUUCAAUUAAGUACCUUUUUAAAUAGAUCAUUUGUUACAUGUGUGUCCUUUUAGUUAUGUAGUAGACAAUUUAAUGUAUGGAGUCUUAGCUCAUGCACAAAAGAUUAAAUUGUCGGUUCACAUAAU
rnacentral:lncRNA from 1 species